rnacentral:rRNA from 1 species
AACGAACGCUGGCGGCAGGCCUAACACAUGCAAGUCGAACGAGAAGCCACCUUCGGGUGGUGGACAGUGGCAGACGGGUGAGUAACGCGUGGGAACGUGCCUUUCGGUUCGGGAUAACCCAGGGAAACUUGGGCUAAUACCGGAUACGCCCUCCGGGGGAAAGAUUCAUCGCCGAAAGAUCGGCCCGACGUCGGAUUAGCUAGUUGGUAGGGUAAUGGCCUACCAAGGCGACGAUCCGUAGCUGGUCUGAGAGGAUGACCAGCCACACUGGGACUGAGACGCGGCCCAGAAGCCUACGGGAGGCAGCAGUGGGGAAUAGUGGACAAUGGGCGAAAGCAUGAGCCAGCCGUGCCGCGUGGGUGAAGAAGGCCUUAGGGUUGGAAACCCCUUUCAGCGGGGAAGAUAAUGACGGUACCCGCAGAAGAAGUCCCGGCUAACUCCGUGCCAGCCGCCGCAGUAA